rnacentral:lncRNA from 1 species
UUUAAAGUACAAAAAUAUUGUUCUUGGAUCACUAGGGUGCCUCCUAGUAAGCGCUCUUUUUAUGUCACUAGCUUGACCCAGUAGAGUUCAAACACCCAUCAGUAGGUAUUGAUACUCCUUUUUUCUUGAUAUUUUUUUCUUUUUCUUCUUCCUGCUGAAUUUCUUCAUGAAGUUGAGAACACCAAGCACAUAUCUCCAUGUAUCAAUCAUAGGAAAUUUAAUCUCCAAUUUAUUGAAGAUCUCCAUAAGGCACUUAAACCUUUAUUAUUUCCUAUGAUAUUUCUUUUGAGGAAGAGGUUUUGCAUAUAAUAUUUUCUUCUUACCUCUCUUCCUUUUCUUCUCACUCUUCUCCCUUAACUUUCUCUUUUUUAUUUUCUUCUUUAUUUUUGCAUAUUUUUUCUUUUUUUUCUUUUCUCUCAACCACUGUUUUUUCCUUAUAAUCAUCCUUAUUCCCCUCACUCAACUUUUCUGUUUCUUCUUCCUCUAUGUUUUCCUCCUCUAUCGUUUCCUUAUUUCUCUCCAUGUUUUUCUCCUUUAUUUUCUCCUCAUCUAUCUCUAUCUUUUCUUCAUCAACAACCUCAUCAAUUGAUGUCUCCAAAUUCCUAAAGGUAACUUCAUAACUCUUGGAAUCCUACUUCUCCAGAAAUUUGUCAAAAUUCUUUUUAAAUCUUUUGAGUUGUUCUCCUAAAUCAGCUAUCUUUUGACAUAGUUGUUGCUCUUCCUCCCACGUUACUAUUGGUGAAGAGAAUUGUUGCUGCCAGUGAUAUUGUUGCAUCUCUUCCAUGCUUCUUUGAGAAGAAAAUCUUGUAUACAUGUCCUGCGAAAAAAAAUUCGUCAUUCUUCGUAUUCUCCUCUAUGCUUUUGACAUGGCAAUACUCCCAAAUUUAUGACCCUCUGAAAAAGUUCAUCAGACUCUGCAC